rnacentral:rRNA from 1 species
AGCAGCCGCGGUAAUUCCAGCUCCAACAGCGUAUAUUAAAGUUGUUGCAGUUAAAAAGCUCGUAGUUGAAUUUCGGGGUUAGUAGGUUGGUCAUGCCUCUGGUAUGUACUGGUCUCACUGAUUCCUCCUUCCUGAUGAACCUUAAUGCCAUUAAUUUGGUGUUUUGGGGAAUUUGGACUGCUACUUUGAAAAAAUUAGAGUGUUUAAAGCAAGCUAACGCUUGAAUACAUUAGCAUGGAAUAAUGAAAUAGGACGUUCGAUCCUAUUUUGUUGGUUUCUAGGAUUGACGUAAUGAUUAAUAGGGAUAGUUGGGGGCAUUAGUAUUCAAUUGUCAGAGGUGAAAUUCUUGGAUUUAUUGAAGACUAACUACUGCGAAAGCAUUUGCCAAGGAUGUUUUCAUUAAUCAAGAACGAAAGUUAGGGGAUCGAAGACGAUCAGAUACCGUCGUAGUCUUAACCAUAAACUAUGCCGACUAGGGAUCGGAUGAUGUUAAUUUUUUAAUGACUCA